rnacentral:misc_RNA from 1 species
AACAUCGCGCACCUGCGGGAACCUGCGGAAGGAUCAUUACAGAGUUGCAAGACUCCCUAAACCAUUGUGAACCUACCUUCUACCGUUGCUUCGGCGGGCGGGCCCAGCGCCCCCCCGGCCCCCCGCGGGCGCCCGCCGGAGGAUACCCAAACUCUUGACAUUAGUGGCCUCUCUGAGUAUUCUUUACUGAAUAAGUCAAAACUUUUAACAAUGGAUCU